GACGAACGCUGGCGGCGUGCUUAACACAUGCAAGUCGAACGAAGUGGCGAACGGGUGAGUAACGCGUAAUCAACCUGCCCUUCAGCGGGUGACAACAGUUUGAAACGACUGCUAAUACCGCAUCCCGAAGGAGGGGCUUGCGUCUGCUUAGCUAGUUGGCGGGGUAACGCCCCACCAAGGCGAGGCUCAGUAGCCGGUCUGGGGGGAGGGACGGCCACAUUGGGACUGGGGCACGGGCCAGACUCCUACGGGAUGCAGCAGUGGGGAAUCUUCCGCAAUGGAGGAAAGUCUGACGGAGCAACGCCGCGGGAGGGAUGACGGCUUUCGGGUUGUAAAGCUCUGUUAGUCGGGACGCGGUACCGGAAUAGAAAGCCACGGCUAACUACGUGCCAGCCGCCGCGGUAAUAC
rnacentral:rRNA from 1 species